CAGAGAUCAAAGACUAGCAUGGUAUCUCUUCAGUCUAUUUAAACUGGCCUGUCAUCUAACAAUUAUUCAUAUUUGCUUUGGGUAAUUACCUCUUAUUACACAGCCUAUAAAAUUGUGCCUUCCCUGUUCUAUGCUUAUCAUGUCCUUUCAACUCCCCAUACCAGCUAGCACUAAAGCUUAGUGUAUAGUAGGUCCUUGGUAUAGCAUUUGUAGAUUUUAUUCCAUUAAACUUAAUUCUCUUUCUUUUUGUUUGAGAUGGAGUCUCGCUCUGUCG
rnacentral:lncRNA from 1 species